rnacentral:rRNA from 1 species
GGGUGGAACGGCUGAUAGUGCAGAUCUUGGUGGUAGUAGCAAAUAUUCAAAUGAGAACUUUGAAGACCGAAGUGGGGAAGGGUUCCAUGAGAACAGCAAUUGGUCAUGGGUUACUCGAUCCUAAGGCAUAGGGCAAGUCCUUGUAAUGCAAUACGACGUACGUCGUAGCUGCCAAAAGGGAAAGGGGUUAAUAUUCCUCUAGUUGGCCGUGGAUAACAUGUGGUAACACAAAUGAGUCCGCAGACGUCGGCAUGACCCCCUGGAAGAGUUAUCUUUUCUUUUUAACUGUUUAUGGCCCUGAAAUUGGAUUAUCCAGAGAUAGGGCUGUAAGGCAGGCAGAGCAGUUCACCCUAUGAACUGUCAGGUGCGGUCAUGACGACCCUUGAAAAUGCGGAGGAGAUAUUUAUAUCACGCCAAAUCGUACCCAUAACCGCAUCAGGUCUCCAAGGUUAGCAGCCUCUGGUCAAUAGAAGAAUGUA